GCCCCCCCCGCUUUUAGAUGUAUAUCCCCUCAACUGGCUUUAAGCGCCAAAACUUGAUGUAAGUCAAACACUAGCC
rnacentral:tRNA from 1 species